ACAAUUUUCCGAACUUUCUGGUUGGUUUCUACUGUCCGAUAUUGUAGCACGCUAACUUUGUUUGGGCUCCUGAACGACACGGGGGAGCAGCGUCUGCCUCACAACCAAUCAGGUUAGAGGAGGUGGAGAACGGCUUUGUUUAAAAUCAUCUACUCAAUCAACUACUAUUUGUGCGAAUCUAGACGUUUGAAUAGUAUUUACUCGCUUCAUUCGCGCGUCAACAGUAAUUUCAACGGUGAUCUCUGCAAGGUCAACCGGCGAGAUCAAGUGAUAGACUAAGAUGUGUUGUGUUGAUAAGUUAUCGCGACGCAACAUUUUUAGCUUCUGCCUAAUUUGCGCCAUUCGGGCCGCCAGAGUCGUAGGAGCAUCUAAUCGCGUCUUUGCAUUGACUUAACAUGUAAUUCAUUCGCGCGAGUAAAAUCACUCGCGCGAAUGAAUUACAUGUUAAGUCAAUGCAAAGACACGAUUGGUGUAUGGAGACAGACAGAUUGAGCACGCUGUUGAAAAAUGUUCAAAUGUUGACGACACAGACAUAACAGAACACAGAGAUAUCGAUAUAUUACCAAAUGUCAUCAAUAACUGAUAACUAUUGACUGAUAUUAACAGCUGCUUUGUAUAAACACCACAAAUAAAGGUGCUUCUUUAAAGAAAUACUGCCUCCCCACCUUUAAGCCAAAAAUAAACCUAAACAAAAAUAAUGACUGUUAAUUUUGUUUCAUAUCCAGACAAAGAUAAGACGUACUUUAACGUCCCCUCAGGGAAAGUGGACUCCUCUGUCCUCACAGAGACUCUCAGAUAUUCAGCGUCUCCUCCUUCCUGUUAGACAAAUAAAGUCAUUAACGUGUAUGUCGACUUUUAUGUGCAUUGACACCAUUUGCUUUUAAAUGCAUGUGUGUACAUACGAGUGUCCGAGUCUAUAGUUGUGUUCAUUAACCUUGUUGUUGUUGUAUAGAAAGACAGACAGGCGGACAGACAGGCGGGCGGACAGCAGCUUCACUCAGUCAACUCAGGUGGAAACAGAUCUCCUCCCUCUGCAGACACGACAGGAAACUCCUGGAAGAAACGAAAUGUCGACUUUAAUUUCUCAGCAGAGACGAACUCAGACAGUCGUUGUUUAACUCUCAUGUCUGAUUGGAGCUGAAGCAAAAAUAUAAAAUAAACCCUCUAUAAUGAACCUUUGAGUUACACAGACAUGUCGUUCUCUGACUGAGUAACUUCUGUUCCUUUCUGAGCUGUCUCUAGCCGCUGCAUGCCUCCUCCUCUUCAUAUCCCGUUUCUCCUCGGCUGUCCUCCCAAAUAAAAGCAAAAACCCAAAAAUAAUCCAAGAGUUCUUUUGAGGAACUUUUCAUGGACCAGUUUUUCCUCGCUGACUGUUGUGCAAUAAGUGUUUAUCUCAUACUUCUCUCUUUUUACUCAUCAAGAAUCCAACAUCUCCUCCUCACUCGUACAGAUCUCUGUGUUUGUUUUUCUUCUUCUGAUUUUCUCCAUUUUUCGUCUGCAUCUUUAACUCCAGUGUAACAGUUCAAUGAUUAUUAUUGUCUACUGACUAUUUCAGGAACCAUAUUUACAUAUUUAAAACAAAAUCGUGAUACUUAUAUGAAUCGAUUUUUUUCUCCCACCCCUAUUAAUCACUAUUUCAAACACGUAUACAAAUGUUUUCUUCUAUUUCUACCAAAUCACUCCUGCUAAACACUGAAAAACUCCACAGACUGUCCCUUUAAUUACUCUCUCUGCUGCAGGUGAAGCUGAUGUAGUCUGUAGAAGUUAAAAACACGACACUUUAACAUCCUUUCUGCCCCUAUUAGCAAAAGAUCAUCACAAAAUACAACAACACAACAAACACCCACGACUACAUCAUCUUUAUAUUCUUUAUAAUUGUGAUUAAUUACGACUGGAAACCCUUAAAACAACAGGAUGGAGUAUCAGACUCGGGUUUGACACCUCACACCACACACACACACACACAUCUAAAUGUCAAACACUGCGGUGUGUGUGAGCAGCAUUGAAACACACAGUGACAGCCACCUGCAGCAGUCAGUUCCGUUUGUCUGCUCUUAUCAGGGUGAAUAUCACAGCCGCCUUCAGCUUCACACUCAUUGUUGCUCAAUCGGCUGCUCUGCGCUGCAGCAGAUACCAGGGUUAAAAAAAAAGAGACAGGGACGCUGUGCCAGUCUUUAAAUGACAGAACAGAAAUAAAACCAUCGACCUCUGCUGUCUGAGAAUUUGGCGGGUAAGGUGAGUCAAAGUUCAGGUGGAGGGACGGAGCAGAAAUGUACAGCGUGUCCUGGAGUUUGUGGGCAGUACGGGACUCUUUGCCGUGUUUUAUGACUUGUUUAUGUGCUCUGGUUGAUGUGUAUGAGGGCGGUUAAAAGAGAACAUUGGGUAUCAGCACACACACACAUACACACACAUACACACACUUACACACACAUAAAUACACACAUACAUACAGUCCUGACUGAUCUGUAGAGGUAAACUGCAGACGACAGCUCAGUUACAGGAGCUCUUGUCAGAUCUGCACAUGCUCCUACCUGCGCUGACUUUUCCACUGUUACAGGUGUGAUAGACAGGUAUCUGUUACAGAAGCAUCUUUAUUUGUGAUUUAUUUACAAAAAAUCUUAAAACGUCAGUCAAUAGUUAUUAGUUAUUGAUGACACUUGGGAAUUUAACGAUAUCUCUGUGUUUUGUUAUGUCUGUUGUUUCGCCCCACCCAAAGGCAGCCCUAUGGGGCAAACAACUAUCCUCACCUAUCGACCCACUGAAUUAACAAAACACCUUCAAACGUUUUACAAGUGAUCUAUUGUGACAAAAUAACAAAAUUACAAACUAAACACAAAGAACCCACAACACAGCAGUUCCUUCUCCAUCUACCUCUGCAGACUGGAGACAGCUCUGCAUCGUUAAAGUCUCAGCACCAGGUGAGUCUGAUUGUCACUCAGUGACUUCACCUGGGCAGCUAUGAGGAGACAAAAGGGGGAAACACACAAAACACACACACCUAAAACACACAGCUGUAACACUGUGUCGUCAACAUUUGAACAUUUUUGAGCGGUCCGCUCUUUCUGACUGUAAACAAAGCCGUUCUCCACCUCCUCUAACCUGAUUGGUUGUGAGGCAGACGCUGCUCCCCCGUGUCGUUCAGGAGCCCAAACAAAGUUAGCGUGCUACAAUAUCGGACAGUAGAAACCAAGCAGAAAGUUCGGAAAAUUGUCUGAAUCCUCCUUUGGCCACGACUGCCGACACAAGCAAGAAAACAAAGUAAAUACCGGAGACUCUGGAGGAAUAACGGGCGCUUAAAACGGAGGUAGACCGGACAAGAGCUAAAAAGACGGACAAGUCGUUCAAGAAAUCCCUGUUUGUGUCUCUGGACUCAUGGAUGCUCUGGUGGUUUUUAAAUGUGACGAAUAAAGACGUUUUGGUAACGCCCCCACAGUCAGGACAUGAGGACAAAGUGAGGAGCUACAGUGACGUCCAUUCAACACAUCAGUCCCCGCUUCUCCUCCUCUCUGAAUGAAGGUGUCAAAGUACCAGAAUAAAACUCAAGCUCCUGUGAGAAACUUUCGUCUUGUGUUGAUUUUGGCGCCCUCUUGUGGACAAAGUCAACUCUGCAGUUUUUGUCCACAUCAUGUGUAAUUUGUGAGUCUUUACAAACAUGUCAAAUGUGUCACUAAUCAAACAUGUCAAAAUGUGUCACUAAUGUCAUGUUUUCUGUCUUUCCUGUAAACCCAAACAGACGUGACACCGUCUUAUUUAACAGACGUGGUGUAAAGAGAAACGUCGUCAUUGAAACACGUGUUUUCUCAAAGACUAACAGGGUCGACUUGAGUUCAAACUGAGCCGUUAGGUUUGUCUUAUCUGAAGGCUCUGGGCUUCCCCAAAGGAAUCAGAGGAUGGGGUAAAAAACACGACAAAGAGGAUGAAAAUAACCUCCCACCAUGGGAAGUGAAAGUCUGUUUCAAAACACUCUGGUCUCUCCUCCGCUCCUCCUGCUCCUCUCUGUGAGAGAUCGUCUGGAGAACCACGUGACAGCAGCUUUAUUGGAAGUUUGGGAGGUUUUAGGAUGUCCGAGUCACAACCUAAGAGUCACUGAAUCUGCACAACUAACUACUCAACAUAAAAGAGUCGAGGGGUGACGGCUCUGCGAGGGUCUCUAUGUUCUUCUUUGAGACGUGUCCCGGGUCGUCCUCCGCUGGGCCUCUUGAAUUUCCUUCUUCUUCCCUCUUCUUUUUCUUCUUCUUCCUCUUUUCUGUCACACCCUGUAAAUGUCGAAAUCUUCACUGUCGGGUUUGCUGAGGCUCCGCACACAAUGAGAAACUGUCCCAAAGAAGGAUGAAGAGGAAGAAGAAGAGUUUCAAACAGCACAGUUGGGUUCAGUCCCCUGUUUGAUGACUUUAUCUGCAACAGAACGGUUUAACAUGUUGAGGGAAAGUCGUCCAGAUGCUGGAGAGGAAGGAAGACCCUCAGAAGAGGCGCCAUAGAUUAAAACAGGAGAAAAGAACGAGCAUUAUCACAAGGAACCAUUAGACGUUCUGGAGCCGCGAGUGUCUGCUCCAAACUGGAGGAGAAUCUGUUCUGCUGUGGACUAAAGUUAGACAAAACUUUGGUUAGACAGAGGGGAGAGAGACCAUGGAGUGUGAUAGAAACUUAGAAUUUUAACUAGAGAAAAAUGUCAGUUUAGUAUGAUAAAGAUGUCAUAGUAUAGUGUGAUAAAAAAAUAAUAAUUUUAGCAUUAAAACUAUGUCAUAGUGCAGUAUGCUAAAAUGCCAAAGUAUAAUAUGAUAUCUUACUAAAGUAUGAUAAAAAUGUUACUUUUCGUAUAAAAUGUCAAAGAAUAGUUUGUUAAAAAUGUCAUAACAUAGUAUGAAAAAAAUGUCAAAUUUUAGUUUUAAAAUAAUGUCAUAGUAUAGUUUGAUAAAAACUUCAAAUUUUUUGGAUGAUAAAAACUCUAUUACUAUAGUUUGAUAAAAAAAAACAACUUUAAUUUUAGUAUUAAAACAAUGUCAUAGUAAAGUAUAACAAAAAUGUCAGGAUAGUGUGAUAAAAAUCAAACUUAUUAAUGUAAAAAAAUAAUAUGAUAAAAAAUGUUAUACAAUAGUAUGAUAAAAAGUCACUUUUUUGUAUGAAAUGUCAAAGUAUAGUGUAAUAAAAAUUUCUAAUUUUAAUAUGAAAAUAAUGACAUUGUACAGAAUGUUAAAAAAAUCAGUAUAAUAUGAUAAAAAAUGUUAUACAAUUGUAUAAUAAAAAAUUUAAAUUUUAUUAUUCAAAAAAUGUUACUGUAUAAUGUCAUAUUAUAGAAUGUUAAAAAUUUAGUAUAGUUUUAUUAAAAUUUCAUAUUUUUUUAUGAAAAAAAUUUUCAUAGUUUAGUUUGUUGAAACAUGUUACAGUAUAGUAUGAAAAUAAUCUCAUAGUAGACCAUCCCUACAGAGCUGACUCUGGCUCCAAUCACUGUGUUCUCAUGGUGUCACUAUCUUCAGCGUUCUCCCCUUUAACUGGCCUUCACCCUCUUUGUACUCAGUCUAAACACCUGGACCACAAAGUCUCGUCGACCUCUGAGGAUCAUGUUUCUGUCUUUUAAUCGUCACACACAGAUCCUGGAGUACGAGGAGAACAGCAUCAUCACCCCAUCCUGAUCCUCCUCCUGAAGCAUUUAUGAAAACAUCCUCACUCUGACCCAGCUAUGGAUGACCAACACACAUGCAUGCCUCCAGGCGCACACACACACACACACACGCCUCUACACGGAGCUAUGCAUGCCUAAAUGAGCAUCCUCCUCCAAACACACAACUGCAUAUGUGCCUCCUGUCACUCAUAUAAACAAACGCAUGUAUGCAUGAGCUGACACUGGAACAACAGAGCCGGGAUGGAAUACAUUUGGUUAUAUGCACAUAGAUGUAAACCCCACUCACACACACACACACACACAUGAAUAUGAAGGAUGUGUAUCAGUAGGACCCACUGUAACGCUCAGAAAUGGACACAAACCCACAGAGCUACACACACAGACACACACAGGACCCAAGCUGCCUCGCCUGCUCGGCUGGCUGGAUCUCAUGGUUGCCAUGGUGCCAGUCAGCUGGAGGGAGUGUGAGUGGGCGUCGAGGACGAGGUCUGCCGCUGACUCUUGGCUGGGACACACACACACACACACACACACACACACACACACACACACACACACACACACACACACACACAACAUACAAUCAUGUGCAAAGGUACACACAUGCAGAUUUAGUCGAGCACACACAGACUGGCAGAGUAAUGUACGCAGAUAUAUGAAGGGAUGUAUAAGCAUGUACAUGGCCUGCAUUACACACACACACACACACACACACACACAAACACACACACAAGGAAAAAAUACCAAAUUUAGAGCAACAAGAAGAAACCCUGAACAGGAAGUAUAAAGAGGUAAAAUUAAAGGUUUAUAAUUGGAAUAUUUAUUCUAAUAAAAAGAACGAUUUAAUCCAAUAGAACAACAAUAAUACUGAGUGAACACACACACACACACACACACACACAAAAGGGGUUCAGCGCUCACACCUGCACUGACUGAUGAAGCCGGUUAACCCGGACCGGGCCUCAUGAAGACGGGUCGGCGGGGGAUCAAAGGUUCACACUGUGUGGUAAUAUAUGAGUGGCAUUAAAUGUAAAAGAGAUUAAUGCAAUUUAAUUAAGCUGACACACUUCAAUACACAGGCAGAUGAUGAGCUGAUGUUAAUUAUUCAACGCAAGAGUGCUCAACCAUUAAAGCUGAGGAGUCAUGAGAAAAACCUUUGAUAUUUAAAGACAAUUAAGAGACUUAAAGACGCGUUCAAAUCAAAAAUCAAUCAAAACUGUUUAAAAAAAUACACAUCUUAACCUUCAUGGAGGGGAGACUGGCUGCACUCUGCAUUAACUUUAGUGAUGUGAACCAAAUAAGCAAAAAAAAGUACACAACGGGACCUCAAAUCAAACGAUACGAGGUCACAUGAUUAUUCUGAGAGACGGACAAAAAACAGCUGAAACACACCGUAAUGUUAAGAGAAAUUUCAGUCUUAGAUUUCACAUGAAAACUGGACAUGCGGCGAUGACGGCUGAUAUUCAGGCUUAUUAUCUGUAUUAUCAGGCUUCUAUUAGACAGAUAUGGUCUCCUGUGUCUUCCAGCAUCUGAGUUUGAUAAGAAAAGAAAAAAGAGUUCAAUACUCGUUAUACAACACAAUUAAAAAUCUAAUACACAUGAACACUGCAGAUACUGCUGCCAAUACUGACCCACUGAGCAUUUUUGGUCUUAAAGAGGUUUUAGAUCUGAUGUGUUUUCAUUCAGGAGAGUUUUCAUACGGGGGAGCAGCGUCUGCCUCACAACCAAUCAGGUUAGAGGAGGUGGAGAACGGCUUUGUUUACAGUCAGAAAGAGCGGACCGCUCAAAAAUGUUCAAAUGUUGACGACACAGACAUAAGAG